CUUUGUGUUAUAGGUCAUGCUCUACAAUUUCUAAAAUCUAUAGUAUUGAUCUUCUCUGCAACCCUAAUUGCAUGUUUAUAGAUUCCUUAGUUCUACCUUUUGCUAGACUCUAAGUUUCAAACCUUAUAGAAAUCCAUCCAUCAUCUCCACCUCUGAAAUAUUAUCAAUUUAAAAAUAUAGAGACUUGAGUCGAGAGACAUAAUCUUACACUGACCUAGAUUGUGUAAGAUUUAUCAAUUAAUCACAUACUAUCUUCUCCGCAUUAAUAGACCAAAAUUGAUUCCUAAACUUGGUCUCAAACUCCUUUGAAUUAUAAAAUCUACGUUGAAUUUUAUAACUUUGAACUUGAUAUUUCCACUAAAUGAUUGCCGCAUCUCUCAAGCAAUUGGUUUCAUAUAUAAUUCUUUUAGUGGUAUUUGCCUUAGAUAGUUAGAAGUAUUAUCAUAUGUUGAAGAGCCAUUGAUAUAUAUCUUCUUAUCUUGAAGUCUUAGAGUAUGUACUAGGUUUAUUCAAUUUCAGCCUAGAAUUAUUGACUCUUUUAUUCUAGAGGCUUCUAUUUGCCCCUGCAAAGUAGCUAUCUAGCCUAAGAGAUGUUAUAUUUGAACUUCCAUGUGGGAUUACUCUACCAUAUCUUCUAAGUUGUAAUUUUUUUGUAAGACUUCUCUAUUGUAAUGCCUUUUUGUCUUUCAUUUGAUUUUUUAAAAAUAACUCAUAGUAACCUCAACACAAUAUCUAGUGUAACUACAAUAAUUGACCUCGAACUAAAUGAUGGCUAUUGAUACACUAUCAAAUAACAAUCUAAGACUUGCUCUAAUACCAAUAAAAUAAGACCACUAUAUUUUGAAAGUCUAAGACUCUUCUAAUCCACAACAAUAUAAAAUCCCAUCACAAAAUAGGACAAAAUGGACUAGAAUAAAACUAAACACAACUAAAUAGAAUAGGACACAAAAGACAAAAUUGAAUAAAUAAAAAUAAAAUAAAACAUAAUUAAAUAAGAAGAUGCAAAAUCAAGCUUUACUAAGAAAGAAGAUUUGAAGCCAUACUUGAUCAAAUGUCCUAAAAGGCCCUGGUCAAUUCUAUUUAAACAUAUUCUAUUAUCCUAGACUUUCUAGAAUAUUCUUAAAUGAUAGACCUCAAUUAGAUAACUAUCCUAAACUCCUUUUAGGAGGUUCUAUGGUUAGAUAACUGUCCUAGGCUCUUUCUAAAAUGUUCUACAAUGGGUCUUAUAUGGUCAAUUAAUCUAGUCUCAAUUUUAAAAACUUCCAUAACUUCUCAAAUAUGGUUCCAACUAUCUAUUUCUAUCUGUCAACAAUACAAAUAUCUUAUCUAUACCAUGUUACAUGUAUGUUUUUAACAAGAUAUGACAUUAUAUUCAAAAUACUUAUACUUAGUUUAAAAUAUAAUAUUUUGUUAUUUUUUUUAAUUCAUAUCAUAUUAUACAUUUCUUAUAGAUUUAAUUUUGUACAUAUCUUUAUUUUAUUUAAUUAAUUAAUAAGUCUUAAUAUCAAAGAUAGAUAAUAUCUAUUUUUAUAGUAAUUUCAUUAAGUCUUCAAUAAUCCAUACAUAUCUAUAGUAAUCUAUCUAUUUUCUUUACAAAUAACAUUAGAACUCCUAUUAAAAAUUUUGACCAAAUUCUCAACAAUAUAUUUCUUAAAUACAGCCAAUUUUUUUGUAAUAAGCUAUAAAUUGGCUCAAAUGAUAAAUAAGUUCUUUCUAGAAGAUCAAUUGAGCAACUAUAAAGACAAUGCUUUGGAAGAAUAUUUAUAUUUUAUUUUAUCAAAAAUAUUUUGAUAACUAUUAUAUUCCUUAAAAUAUCACUUUCAAUUUUUUUUUAAUUUUAAAAUUAGAUGAGAUAGAAAUUACAAAAGAUGAAAAAAUAAAUUAUAAUAUGUAUAAAAAUUCUUAUAUCUAGCAAUAAAUAUUUGAUUUUAUUGGAAUAAAUUUUUUAUUAAAAUAAUAGAAAUUUAAAUUAUGCUAUGAAAAUAAUUAAGCUUAUAAGAAAUCCAAUAUAUUUAAGGAUUAUAUUUCUUUAGCUACAAAAAAUCUAAAAUAAUUAGAUUAAAUAAAAAAAUAUUGAAAUAUUAUGAAUAUUAUUUUUUAUAUAUAAAAAUAAUUUUAUAGAUAAUAUCUUGAAAAGAUAAUAAACAAUCAUCUAUGACCUCUUCAUGUACAUACUUAGUUUAUUUGAAUAAAGAUAUUUCAUAUUUUUUUACAAAGUUGUUAUAAAUAAAACAAGCUAAAAGUCUUAAAUCUAAUAAGGUAGAGACUUUUUAUUUUUUUAUUCUAAAAAAAUAUCUAUUAUAAAGCAAGAUGAAAAAUUUAAAAUAUAUAUAUAUAUAUAUGUAUGUGUGAUUUUUAUUAGAUAUUGUAUAAGAUUCUAAUUGCAUUGUUUUUAUUAUAAUUGAAUAAACUUAAUUUUUAAUACAUCAUCCUCUUUGACAACCAUGCUCGUCAUUUUGUCAUUACAUUGUUUGUUUGAAUAAUGUUGUGCAAUAAACUUAGAUUCUUUAUAAUAUAAGCACAAUAUUUUUUGUCAAUAUUAAGUCUUUUCUUACUCAAUGAAAGUUUAAAAUAUAUUUUAUCAAUUUUCAUAGAUUUUGGCCUUAAUGAAUUAAUUAUUGAAAACUUAGAAAUUAUUGAGAUGACUUGACUUAUUCUUCUUUACUCAAAUCUUUAUUCUUAGUGUCUUUUAAAAAAAUAAUUUUUGUAUGCAAUAGCUUAAGAAAUAAUUUUUUACAAUCAAUAUACUUUUAGUAUUGUCAACAAUAAAUCUUUUAUAUUAACUUUUAAUUCAUAUCAAAAUGAAUUAAUAAGGAUUUUUAUCAUUCUAAUCCACAUAGCAAGCAAGGUUUUAGAAUUCAUUAAUAUACAUGGUAGUUGAUAGUGAUCUUUGACAUAAAGAUAGGAUUUUUAUCUAUGCUAUUUUUUUAAUUAUUCUUCUAAAAUUAAUUAUAAAUACUUCCAUAAAUAAAUUUUAAAGGUAAAAUUUAUCAAUUUAUUUAUAUUAUAAGAUGGCCUUAUUGAAGAAUUGCUUGUACUUGGUGAUGUGAAGUAAAACAAAAAAAUAACAAGAAUAAAAGAAGAACAAAUAUAAAAGAAGUAAAAUAAACUUAAUCAAGUAAUUAUAAACUCUAAAAUUUAAUCACAAUUUAUUUAUUAGAAUUUUAUUUAAUAAAAAAAAUUAAAAAUUAAAAAUUAUUAUCUUUUCAAUGACAUAAGAAACAUAUAAAUCCAAUUGAUUAAAAAUAAGUUUUGAAGGUUUAAAGAUAAGAAGCAAAUAAUUAAAAAGUUAAAUAAAAAUAUUUUAUCUUAAGAAUAACUUGCUUAUAGAUUAAGGAUUUUAGCAACAUCAAGGCUCACAUGUAAUAUAAAAGGGUGCUCUAAAGAACCUUCAAGGCUUUAGUCUUAUCUUUAUGCCUACAUUCAAAAAGCUACAACCCAUAUGGAACUUGCGCACCUCUCUUCCUACAAAACCUAUACUAACUAUUUGUCUUCUUAUUUUCUACUAAUAGAAUUACUUUUUUGCAUUUUUAACUUCACCAUGGUAUCCAAAAAUAUCCAAUUAGCCUAAAAACCUCGUAGGGCAUUCAAAUAUUAUUCUAUUUCUUUAUAGUAGCUUCCAAGAUGGUAGAACUCAAUUUUACCAAAGUCAUGAAAAAUUUUCUAAAACUUUUUAAUUUUUUAAAAAUAAAUUCUAAUAAAAUUAUAAAAAAUUAUAUAAUAUAUUUAUAAUUAAAAUAUUAACUUCAGACUAUAUUUUAAUACCUUGGUGAUUUUUUUAAUAAUAAAAUCAAUUUAUAUCAACUAAAAAUUCUAUUUUCUACAUAAAUAAGUAAAAUAAAUAUGAAUUGUUUUUUAUUCCUUGUAAUUAUUAAUUGAUAUUAAUAGGAAUUUUUUAUAAAUAAUAUGUGUAGAUAAAAAUUCAAUUUGGAAAUUAAUAUCAACAACUAAAUAUUAAUAUUUAAUAGUAAAAAAAUUAAUAAACCAAUCAAAAUAAAUGCCUCUAAGACUUACUAAAAUUCUAUUCUUAUAUUUUUUUCGCUAAUAAGAAUUUUGUAACUUAUACAUAAUUCAAAACUCUAAAAAAUAUUUAAAUAAUCAAAAAGACUCUAAUCUUCAUUAUUCUAUGCCUAAAUGACUUAAAAUUAUAUUUUUGACCACUCUACCUAUUAAAAUCCAUUUAUAAAAUUUACAUGAAUUUAGAUCAUAUAAAAGUAGUGAUUUUUUUUUCCAUAAAAUGUGAAAAAAUUUUAAAAUAUCUUUUCUAGAUAGGAGUAUAUAUAUAAAUCUAACUUAAGUAAAUCCAUCAAGAUAAUGGAAAGAAUAUAAUUUUAAAUAGAAUUUGAGCUCUUGUAGGAAUCUUUAAAAUUUUGAUCUUAUUUCAUUAAUCUUCUUUAGUAUACUAAUCCUUACUUCUUUGAUAUUUGUAAUAGUAAAAAAAAAUGAUUCAAUUAUGUGAUUGAUCUACUUAUUUUCUUUAAUUACACAACUUCUUGGCAAAGAUAUUAGAUCUUAUUACUAAUAUCUUUCAUAGGUAUAGAAAUAGUAUUUCAAUAGUUAAUGUUGGUAAUUUGUGAAAUUUCUACUCUAAGAGUAUUGACAAGCUUGUGAAGAUUUGAAAUAGUUGCAAAUUUAAUCUCUCUUUUAAUAAGUAUAACAUCUAUAUUUUUUCCUUUUAUUUUUAUAAUAGAAAACUUUAACAUAUUUAGAAGUUAAAUUAAAAAAUAAACAAAAAAUAAAAAUAAAAAAUCUAAAACCUCUACUAUAAAAUUUAAAAAAUCCAUAAAAAGAUAUAAUUCAGUGUGUUUGAAGAAAGAAUUAAUGUUAAAAUUUAAAAAUUAAUAAUGAAUAGCCUUUAAAGCAUAAUAAAAGAAGUAAAAAAAUCCACUUAGUUCUAAAAAAAUAAAGAAUAAUAAAUUAGGAUUCUUAUCAAAUUAUCAAGGACAUAAAUCACAAAAAAUCAAAUGAUCAAUAUACUCAUAUGUCACUAAAAAAGAGUAGAUAUUCACUUAAAGUUUGUAUAAUUUUAAAACUAUAAGGACUAUUGCUAAAGAUAAAAAGAUUGAAGAUUCUUAAAAUAAGACUAAAAACAAAAAAUGUGUUGACAAGAAUGAAAAAGGUUUUAUUAUUGCAUCUAUAUGUACUAUCAAAUUAUGAAUUAUAUGGCAAUAUUCUAUAGGACCUCCAACACAUAUCCAACUUACAUAAAAAGUGUCUAAUUUGCAAGACAAGUUUCUUAUACAUAUGCCACAUGUCCAACUUGUAUUACAAGUGGCCAACUUAUCAAUUAUCUACAAACAUAUAUAAAAUCAAAUCUUCAUCUAUAAAGCCUCUAAAAAGAUUUUUUUACAAGAAAUUAUUAAAAUUAUAUAUUUUUAAUUAAUUCUAUCUAAUUCUUCUUAUUUAAAUAAUUAAUAGUAUUGGUUAUAUUUGUGACAUAUAUAACCUUUUAAAAUCUAUAUCAAUUUAGUUUUUAAACUACAUAUAUAUAUAUAUAUAUAUAUAUAUAUAUACCAUUUAUUAUUUUAAUAAAUUUUAUUUUUAAAUAAUAUAAUUUUUUUAAAUCAUUUUUUUGUUAUUAAUUUUUUAAUUAUAUGCUUCUUAAAAACAAUUUAGUUGAAGCUACUAUAUGCAUCUCUUUGCUCUAUAAUUUUGCAUGCAUAUCUUUAACUUAAGAAUAUCUUUGAAAUAAAAUUAUUUCAAAAAAAAUUAGAAUCAUAAGUAGCAAUUGUGUUUAGCACAAGUUUCACUAUGCCUUUUAAACAACACCAAAAAAUAUCUUUUUUAUCAACUUUGAAUGUUAUAAUCUUCCACCUGCAAUGACCUCAACAUAUAAGAUUUGUUUGAUUGAUUCUAAUAUAAGUUAAAAACAAGAUCUUAUGGUUGAAAGUAUUAAAAUAUUAAAAAAAUAAAAAUAAAGGUUAUUUUCUUAACACGGGUGUUUUUUUGCACUUUUGAAGUUUGGAGGAUAAGAUAACAUAAGGAACUUUAGGGAUUAAAAGGUGCUAUUCAAAAUGAAUAAUAAUAAUAAUAAUAAUAUAGUAAUAACAUUAAAAUUAAGAGGUACUAAAGAAAAAAGUAAUAAAAUAAAUAAUAAUAAUAAUAAUAAUAAUCAUCAAAAUAAGGAUUCUAAGACAAAGAAAAAAUAAUAAAUAUGACUAUAUAUAUAUAUAUAUAUAUAUAGCAUCAAUAAAUAAAUGCAACAUUACACAUAUAUCUUACAAAUAAGAAGAAGUUUGGAAAAAUAAGUGAAUGCAUCAUUAUCCAUAUAUUCUACAAAUAAUGAAAAGUUGGCAUAGACAUUCAAGCAUAUCACAACACAAAUACUAUAUAUAUAAAAAGUAAAAAGUAAAAACAAACCAUUGAAGACAAAAAAAAAAAAAAAAAAAAAAAAAAAAAAUACUACAAAGAAGAAACUUCAAAGACAAGAUAAUAAAGAUAAAAUAAAAAAUAAAAAAUAAAAAAAUAGCACAACCAGAACCACAACAUCAAAUCUCACAACUUAAUUAAAACAAAAACUACAAGAUUGCAAAUACACACAAGUAAUUUAAUCAAUAUAUUAAUCAAAAAGAACAGCCACACAAAGGAGUAGUGGAGUUAGAGAUGAAGACUAAAAUAAGGCUUUGAAGAAGUAUGAUAUCUUUCUUUGUUAAUUGGAUUUAUAUUAUAUUGUUGCUAUCGUCAGUUCUUGCAGAAAUAUACAUCUCGUUGUGGUCUCCCGAUAAUGGAAUUCUUACGUUCCGGAAAAUCCUCUGUCACAGAACGUCACAAAGUAAAAUAACAAUCCCUGCAAAUCCAUAGCCUUCACUUCACAAGCGCCUGUCCCAGUAAACCCAACUCCAUCCAAUCUAAGGUUGAAUACUCUGGUAAGCGUCUGUUAGCAAAACAUCUAUCUUUAUAAGUUGCAUGAGUGACCUCUAAAUGUACCCCAUAUCAAACAAGUUGUGAGCAGUCUCUUUUGGCCCGGAGACUCUCACCAGCCAUGCUUAGAACCGCUCUUCUGCAAACAGUUGUCUUACAAACCGAAACAUAACAAAUCUCAUGGCUGCACCAAAGCAUGGUGUGACUUGGAAGUCUUGCCCAACUAAGAAUUUGCACGUGGUUCCUCGUUGUACUCUUUACUAGGGGGGUCCACUUGACCCUGACAGAUGGGUGCUAUGUGACCUAAAAGUUGCUGCAAAACUCAGUCUGACGGUAUGGAAAAACUCCUCUCCCAGUAAAUCAAUUUGGCAUCGAUGGGAGAAGUUCACUGUAUCGCCCUGAGUUCACGGCAGGAACUGUCAUAUAAAAUUCGAUUUCCAAACCUUCACAACAGUGACAGAAGCUGGGUGUUGUGUGAUAAUAGAAUGAUGUUUGCUGGGUGUGGCGAGGUUUAGGCAACCAGUGGCAACCAUUAACGAACAAGCUCUUUACUUUCAAAUACUACAGACUAAAAGCAAAGUUUCGUCACUGUCAGAAUGCCAUGAUCUUGUGUGAUGAUGACUUCGUGUGUUCUAACAUUCUCGGGUUGUGGUGGUAGACACGACGAACCCAUAAUCGAAUUGAGGACAAGGCUGAAGUAUAUGAUGCCUAAACAUUGCUAACAGGUUUAUACUGGUUAAGUAGUAAUGUGAGGACAUCUCUAAAUAAAUGACGAUGCUGUAAUACUUCAGUGCGACGAAAGUGAGGGAAAAGCUCCACCUUUCUGUGCAUGGGAACCAAGUUCAGGUGAUGUCUUUUCCUAUCAUUCUAAGAACUUCAUCACAAUUUCAUCCAGUUGAAACUAGCAUCUCAAUGCAAUAAAAAAAUUAUGCAACACAAGCAAUAUAAAAAACUGCCGAUCUCUGAGUGCACUAGAACCAUUACCGCUUAUCAAAUAUAGCUCGCAACAAACUAUUAAAUUACCAUUUGACUGUUCAGACUUUUCACGCCUUAUGCGACAAUUAGCGAGAAGCAACUUCCUUAGUGCGACGAGAGUGCCUCCUUUUGGUCCUUGGUAGCAUCUGCGCCUCGAAUUAGUGAGCUAUCAAUAUCCCUAUGCCCGAGGCAUCAAUUCAACCUUAGGAUGAACUACUUUACACGAUUGAGGUCACGUUGUGCGGCUGUUUUGGCUAUUAGAAGACAAAAACUCAAAUUUCGAUUCCAGAGAAUUGUCAAUUUCACAUGUAAAACAGUUGAUGUUCAUGACGCCGAGUCUCGCCGAGUGCACAAUUCAAUUUCUCGGUACAUCUAUUUCUGGCAAACCUCACUCUGAACUGCACGAAUCAAAGUUAUAAUUAAGAGAAUACCUUCAUCAUAUUGAUCAGCAACUUUUGUUUUAAUGACCACUUUUAACAGUUUUACAUAACCUUUCCAUCCCUCUAAGUUUGGCUGUUUCUUGUGUUUUAGAUACAUAAAAGGUUGUUGUCGAUGGUAAGGAGCCUUGAUUGCUUCUUUAACUGGAAUAUCUAAACAUAGUAAAACAAUUGUUGGCACUAAUGUUAUGUUGUCUUUGCGCAUGGAGGGCCUAGAGUGUUUUCUCAUGAAAAAUGAUUGAUGAGAUAUCUAAUUUUGUUAAUUUCUUGUUGGAAGCCACUUCUAAUCAAGGUAAAGAAGUGGGUAAAAGAGAGAAGGAUAUUAUUUACUACAAUAACCUAUUGCAUUCUACAACGACAAGAAACAGGAGGCGAGGGAACAGGGAGUCACAACUAGAAAUAGGACGGUGGGUAAGAGAUUUCGGUUCGAACGAUCCAUCAAUGAAGUCAGUGCUCGUGUUAGGAUCUGAGGCCCAACUGAAUUGCGUGUGAUCGCCUCGAGGCUAUUUUGAUGGAUUUCGUGAGGAAAAAACCCUCGGUGUUUCCCACAUCGGUGUUGCUUGCGCUUUGUCUUGGCUUCAUUGGAGGAUUGCUCUUUGGCUAUUGCUUGUAUCUUACCGCUACUCUAAACGUUCCAUCUCCUGAGUUAACUGACACAAGACUAAGUACAAGUAAAGUUGUAUACGGGUCGAUAAAGUGUCCCGAUGUGCCGCCUUCAGUUCCUUGUGAGCCUUGUGUAGGUACUGUUGCAAACCAGACGAUAGGGUGUCCCGAAGUGCCGACUUGUGAGACUUGUGAAGCUAGCGGAAAUGGAAGCGGGUCGCAACAAGAUAUGGCUGAAGAUGAGGUUUUUGUCAAGAAUCUGCCUCAAAACUUUAUUCAUAAAACAACAGAUUAUCAUCGUAAAAACAUGACCAAGAUGCCCUACCAGGUUAGUGUUCAGAAAUCCAGCACCGACCUUAGGAUCUUACGGACACACAGUUUUAGGCUACACAGACCAGCUUCAGUUAUAGGUUUCAGUUUAAAGACGACUGGAGCGUAUUGUGCAUAAUUUAGUUUCAGUCUUCCUCAAAUUUUCUGCCUUGUGCAAUGGCACAGGACAGGCCUGGGCCCACGCCGAAGAGUCUGCUUGCAAUGGCCGUCGGAUUUAAACAAAGAGACCACGUUGAUGCUUAUCUUCAGAAGGUACAUCACAAACUCAUUCAUGAAUGUGCGCAUGCUGAUAGGCUAAUGAUAAGAAAGGUGAGAGGAAUAAAUGAUGAGUCCUUUCUCGUUGCGUGUGUUGCAGUUUGACGAGGAGCAUUUCCAGGUGGUGCUAUUUCACUACGACAACACGGUAGACAAAUGGAGAGACUUCGACUGGUUCCAACGCGUUGUCCACAUCCAGAGCGAAGGUCAAUCCAAGUGGUGGUUCACAAAACGGUUCUUGCAUCCCGAUGUGGUGGCUCCCUACGAAUACAUUUUCGUCUGGGACGAAGACCUCAACCUCACCAAUUGCGACCCUCUCAAGUCAGUUCCUGCUUCUACACUACUUCUCUUAUGGUCCAGCAGUUACUGCAAGUUCAACUUACCGGCAUUGCUGGCUCAGUAUCUGAUACGCCACUAUCUGUGACCAGAUUUAUAGACAUUAUGAAGAGGAAUCAGCUUCAGAUUGCGCAACCAGCGAUUGAGGGAGCUACCCACUGGCCGAUCACGAAACGUGUUACGGAAAACGGAAUUGAGAUGCACACUCGCACCUCCGAGGGAGGCCUAAAAGACAAGCCCUGCGUUAACGAAACCACAACUGGUGGCCCAUGUGAAGCGUGAGUGUCAUCACCAGAAUUUUGUCGUAAUCGUCGAGCGAUCGCAAAUUUGAACUGGGAGUCUGAAAACGAAUGCUUGUAUGGUAUGAACAGGUUUGUGGAGAUUCAGGCUCCUGUGUUCGAGCACAAGUCUUGGCGGUGCGUCUGGAACCUCCUUCAGGUGCUUAACAUCUUUCCUCAAAUCUUGUGCUCCGAACGGUAACAGCUAGAAGAGAGUAGGAUCGGUGAAUCGUCAUGGAGUGUUGCGUGACCAUCAAAUCUUAAACCCCGAACCUGAUAGCUGUAAUAUCGUUCAAGUUUCGCACGAAGUUGAUCCAUUGUACGCAAGGCAUUACAUCGCUUUCGACGGAGCAAGCAGCUAACCAAUCUAACAGGUUCUAGGGAUUCAUGUGUUGAACCGCAAUGCAGAACGAUUUGAUAAUGGCAUGGGGAAUCGAUUUCAUCCUCCGCGAAUGUGUCUCUGCACCGGCAGAGAAGCACAUGGGCAUCAUAGAUUCACAGUGGAUCCUACACGACAGCGCUCAAUCUCUCUACUCCAAGGUCUGUAACACCAGUCCAUCGUCACGAAACCAGCACGCUUUAGCAAAACUAUGUUUCAAUCCCAUGGUCUUGACUCCUGGCUUGCUACCAUCCUCACCACCUGGUGUUUCUGCGAAUUUGUGCAGGAGAAUCAGACCACGACGCAGUUCAGCUCACACCGAGAUAUGGUAACUAGCAUGACUUGAUCACCUCUCCUUGUCUCACACACCCCUCAUGACAUCUUCCUUUGUUCCAAGUAGGCCUCGUUUACCACCCGAAACCAGUUCGACUCUACCACAAACCAUUCCCCUUACCAAAUUCACCGUACUGCAUGUACCUAAUAACCACACCGUGUGUCUAAGCAGCUUUUGAAGAGGAGCUUCUGGGAGUAUUCAGAAACUAGAAGAAGGUGGGGGACAACAAACGCCACCAGAAACGCAGUCUGAUCCCAAAUCAUCAAACAUCUACUGGAACGUUUUCGAAAGUUCAACACAAUGUGGUUCCCCCUCCGAGGCGUCUCACUUUGGGAGAUAUGUUUGGAACGAAAUGAUCGUGCUUUUACCAAUACCGACUGGCCCAUGGAAAAGACCCACAAGUCGGAUCUGGCAAGGAUUCACAGAUUACGCUAGAAUUGCAAGGAAUAAGGUCGUGGAAAAUACUCAGGUUUACCUAUCUCGCUGUUACCCUAAACCCUAAAACCGGAGGGAUAGUAUAAAGCUUUCGACACCAGCUGGGGGAACAAUAUCGUAAUAUGCUCUAUACUCAAGCCAUUGCACCCUAAGAGGUUCCGUAUCCAAGGUAGAGUAGCUCCCCAAUAAGCCGGGGUUGUAACAUUACAUAUUGUAGGGUCCUGUAUUGAGUCGUGCUUUGGUUGGGAUUUCUGAGUCCUACUUAGACCAAAACACUUUGUACUGGUCCCCUGCAAUGAAUUUUCUUUAUAUGUAUCUUUGCAAACUCCAAGAAGUAUCUUAGAAAUGGACAUAGAAGUUUUUAAAUUUUUUAGAAGAAAAAAAAUAAGGUUUAAGAAAAUUGAUGAAGAAAUGUAACAAAUUAGAUCUAUAAGUUAUCUUAAAGUGGUACUUAUAUCUUAGUAUUACUAUUGUAGGAAUAUCAUUAAGCUUUGUCAAGUUAUCAUUAAUUAGAUAAUAAUAGAUUUAGGCAUAUUUAUAAGUCCAAAAGACAUAAUUUUUUAUUAAAUUAUAUAUGUAUACAAUUCAUACAAGAACUAAAAAACAAGUUAAAUAACUAAGAAGCAAAACAACAAUAAAUAAAUAAAAACGUUAUUCUUUUUAAUAUCAAGACAAUGGUAUUUGGUUGCAUAUUUAUUAAUAUUAUUUGAUACUACUAAAUUUCUCACAAAAUAUUAUUUCCAAUUAAAAUCACACAUUAAAUCUUAAAUUUCUUCUUCUGCUAAAGGCAAUAUGAAAUUUUCUUUAUAUGUAUCUUUAUAUUUCCAAUUAGAAUUACGCAUUAAAUCUUAAAUUUCUUUAUAUGUAACUUCUGCAUAAGGCAAUUAUUAUAUUAAUAAGAUCUUACACUUUAAGUAAUUAAAUAUAAGAUUAAAAUGAUUCACUUUAAAUUUGUGCACCUGCGUUUAAUUUAAUUAUACCAAGUAAAAAUAAUAUUAAAUAAUUGAUAAACUUGUAUACAAAUUGUAGUGAGUCAAACCAUAUUGUACAAAUUUGAAUUGAAUCAUUUUAAUCUAAUAUUUAAUUACUAAAAGUGUAAGAUCUUAUUAAUAUAAUAAUUUGACUUGACAAAAUGUACUUUGUAUAAUAUAAUAAAAUGUAAUAAUAUUUUAAAAUAAAAAUAAAAAUAUUCAAUAAUACAUUAAUGAAUAAAAUAACUAAAAAUAAUAAAAAUAUUUAAAUUUAUAUUUCAAUAUCAAUACAUAUUAAUAAAAAGACACAUUCUUUGUUAGUGCUUCUGUAAUUUAAUUCAACCACUCUUUGUCAAUUAAUUUUUAAAGAUUAUAUCAUAAUUCAUUUAAAUUUGCUAAAAGUUGUAAAGCCCUUGUAUAACAAUGAUACAAACUAAACUAAAUAAUGCUAGUAAAAAUUACUAAUUAUAUGUAUUACACUUUGAAUCUAUUGGAAUGGAUUGAAGGAUGCAAGUAUAGAAAAAAUUACAAUUGUUAAAAAAAAUCUUUAUUUUUAUUUUAAUUCCAAUAAAUGUAUAAAGCAUGUUAAUCUUAGUAUAUUUCUUAUAUCCAAUAAAUGUAUAAAGCAUGUUAAUCUUAGUAUAUUUCUUGGAUAUUAUCGUAGUCAAACAACACCAAAUUGGAUAUUAUGUAAUUCUUUAAUCAAUGCUUGUAAACUAAUUAAAGUAACAACAAUUCUCAAGUGUAUCAUUUUUUGUAGUAAAGAAAAAAAAAAUUAUAUUCUAUAUAUUACAUUCUAUUAGAAGUAUUAAUUCAAAUUAGUACAAUUGAUUUCAGACACUGAUUAUGGCCAUGCAACAGCUCGAAUAUGAAUAUAUAUAUAUAUAUAUAUAUACAUACCUUCCCUGAUUGCAUUAGAGCAAGGUAAUCAAUACCUCAUAUCUGAUUAGUUUAAACAGGACCCAGUUUUAUAGCAUGUCGACCCGAGUAGAACACCUGCUAGUAUUGAAAAUUCAUCCUAAUUCUUAAAUAUGUCGCGGGCCAUAUUCAUAAGAAUUAUUAUGAUUGUGAAUUAUUAUGAUUGUGAAUUAUUAUGAUUAUUCUCACACAAAUCAUAGAAUAUUUCUUCUACGCUGUUCAAUCCCAUUUUGCAAGCAAGCGUUGAACAUCCUAGUGCACAGCUCUGCUUCAACACUAGACUACAAGUACUGUGUGCUUUACAAUUUCUCGUCACUUUAUACCAGGUUGCUCGAGAAGGAUAUUGAGAAGUCGACAUUCUAGAAUACUCUCAUUGUGUGCUACUAUCAAUGAUUUGCCAUAAAUCACUGUACGAGACUAGGUAAUUGUAAAAUAAACAAAUUGAGUAUCCAUGCACUCACUGCUUAGUGACUUUAGAAUUUAAUCUAUUUCUGCACCUUGUAUUGUACUGUUGCUAAGAUUGCACCUUCCUGUGGUGGAUAUUAAGUAGCUGGAUAUUGAGAUCGGUUCAGGAUUGACGGUUCCAGACUUCAACCAUUUCAAGGGGCGGUAACCAGGGAUUAGGUUACACUCAACGUGUGAAACAUCCAAUGAUUUGAAUCGUAGUAAAUAUCCUCUCUCAGGACAGCUACGAUAGUUUUACGAUGUACUUUGGUUUUGUGCACAGUAUCUGCUUCAUCACUUAGCGGAAACAUUGUAUUAUAGCGUCUUGAGAGUGGCCACAGUCCUUGUUUGUAUUGAUUGCUGCACCGAUUCAAGCCAAAGCUGCUGUCGAGAAUAGCCACAUAGAGCUACACUCUAUCAACACCGACGGACGCGUGUACAGGUACAACGGAAGUGUGAGCGAGUUUUCCCGAAUAUGGAUCCGGUGCUUGUUGCUGGUUACGUGAUUCGGGCAUAGUGGAAGCAAUAGGACUCCCUCGAGGGACAACCCAGGCGACGAAUCGAGGAAUGUCGUCUCCGGGCAUUAUCACCGAGAUAGAUGCAGCCUGCAGAAAAAUUCAAAUUUCCUUGAAAUAUUGUCCUCUAAAUUUUCCUGAAAACAGCGAAAGUUUUAGAAAAGAGUGUGAUUCUUACUCUUGGAGGAUCACGAGUGUUGAUAGCAUCCACAGAAUGAUGAAAAGAAAUCGGUGGUGAUGAUGAUCGCGUGUCGUCAAGGAGCUCAGAAUGUCCGGUACUAUGGGCCUGGGAUUGAAGUCGCAUUUGUCCCUCCCACUGAUAGCAGCAGCAAAGAAUGGCACAAACUGCCAUUACCAUAAGAACAACUAUGCCAGUCACCAGGGUGACAUUCGUUCUUGAAUGCUUAGGAGGCGCUGGACUUAUAAGAGGAGGCCGGGCAUGGGUUCCCUGAAGAACUCUUCCCUCUUGAUAAACAGAUUCCCACUGAAACGACAUCAUUUGAGCUUCCAUUGCACUCAAUGCCUCUAAACCGACAAGAAGGAAGAUUGACAAGUAUCUAAUUACAAAAUUUCUACCCAUCUCCCACAUUCAUCUCCGAGGAGAAGGUGGGAAGAGCCAGCCAUGUCACCGUGCGGAAAGCUAUACCUGGGAAAUACUUCGUGAUGUCACAAAGUAGAACUCUGAAUACUACAGACGGUAAAGGACAUGAGCUACAGCACUUGAUCCCAAAUGACCGCCAGAGAAAAAUGACUCUACCUACAGUCACUGCGGUCCAUUUGUCAAUCUAGAUCCUACUUGGAAUGCUGACAAACUUCAGAUUGAUAGAAGAAAGAGAAACUUGAGAAAAUCUUCUUCCUUGGGACGAAAUUGUAGCCGCUGAUGUAAGUUCUUCCUGCAGAUGUCUAUCAGCAAACUACCCAAACCGCUGCAAAAACUUUUAAAAUGUUUGCAAUUUUCAACACAAGGUCUUCUUGAUCAUCUAACGACGUCUUCGAAGAGCUCAGAUGAGCUCAACAAUCGUACUACGGAUCUACAAAAAUAUUUUAUCCACGGCAGAUGGGGACAAUUUGGACGUCACCUGACAGUUACAGUUCAUGGCCAGCAGCACGAAUGAAUUCUGCCUACAAUGUCCGACACAUUCCUUAAGAACAGAAACAGAAGAACUGCACCCUGAGAAACCAUUUCAUGCUUCCACAAUCUAAACCCAACAUUAUAAGCUUCACCUGCUCACCGCGCUCCUCACAAAUCAAGCGUGGCUCAUAACGCCGUACAUGAACAUGGAAACACGUAAUUUCGGAGCCUCCCGCUGUUAAUUUCGAACAGAAAUAGUGGGACCCAACCUGCCCAUCUUCAUACACAAUCUGCAAAAUUUGAUACUCCAGCUAGAUUAGCUACCGGUCACUUUAACCAUAAAAUUUCAGCCCGACUUGGAUUAUUACAAAAGAUUAUUUGGAGCUUGAAAUCAAAGAUGCAGAUAUGAUACACCUGUAUAUUCAGGCAGUUAAAUGCCAUGCACCUGCCAAAACACAAAUUGUGUGAGGACGAAGACUCGAUUAAGAUCGACCAUGAGAAGAGUGCUAUCGGCGUAGUCAAAUAGACCCACACCUGCGGUUGAGGUGCCUUACCUUCGGCGGCAUAAACGCUGUUGUGAAAUUGGGGCUGGCUGCCAAAGCUGGUGACCAAGAAAGACUACAUCUGUGCGGUCAUCUGUGUUUUUGAAUGUGAAUUUCGGCUUUAGUCGACGGCGACUCCUUUGCAACUGGUAAGUUAUCGAUGUGGCUUACCGAUCGGCAAUGCACCCCCACUUCUACUUCUGUGACACUUUACCUGCAGCCUCAGCCUCCAAAUGGCUGCAACUGUGGAUCACUUCAUGUGCAACCGAAAAUAAUUUUAAAUAUUGUAUUUAGGUGGUCUGUAAGAACGUAGACUAGCCCCAAGAGCUCCACACUUAAACUGUGACGAAAUUCGUUCAAAAUAUUGGUGCAGAUGGAAAAUAGUGAGGGGACACUAAAAUGAAGAUAGUUUAGUCCUUGCCAUGAUCUUCCGAUGUCGCUAUUUGAUUUCUCAGGCGCCGUGUUAUUCAGCUUCAUAAAGAGUUUCAAUUUAAGGUGGAUACUAGUAGGAGUUACACGCCAAAGCCCCAACCAGUAAACAAUACCUUUCAACACGAUCCUUGGCGUCCGAUGGCUCCACUUGAGCGUCCUCUAGGCCAUGUAAGUUCUCAGAGACCAGAUGUCUCAACGUAUCCGUUCAGUUACAGCUACACAUGUCAAUUGUUACUCUGAAUAGAUGAUAAUGCAGUAUAUUAGGCGAAGAAUAACCUACUUGUCGCAAACCAUGAAGUCUGAAUUAACAGUAAAUACUCUUUUCUAACUUCGUUAAUGAACGCAUCGAAGAAAGAAAGAUAUAUUUUGUUAAGUUUCAAUACAUCAACACAGAUGGCAACCAACACAGAUGGUAACCACAGUAGCACUGACCGAGACACCUAAUUGACAUUUUUGACGAUGGCGUGAACGAGUAACAUUCCUUGGGCCGGUCGUUUGGAGUGUGCCACAAGCGAAUUGACCUGAGAGUCGGUUUCGAAGUACAGGAACUUAGUGGAGUGUUCUCGAAACAAGUCAAGAAUUAUAGAUGGACGAUACAUGUACUGCUCAUGAGUCCCAAGGCUUCUCAAACGUUUCAUACAUACCAGAUGUAUUGGAAGCGAUUAAAUUAGCAGAGAAGUGAGUGUAGAAAAGACAGAAGAAUGCCUUACGUAAGCACAUCUACGAAGCUGCUACUGAACUUGGACAAUUCCAACAAGCUGCAAAUUCUUCAGACCUUCCUGAAGGGACUCACAAGGUGCUCGAGAAGUACGCAUGAGAGGAGCGCCCCCGCCGCUCAGCCGACAAAUAUCCAAAACAAUAUGUACAUUUCUUUGUUCAAAAGCCUGACAGGACCAUUAGGACGAUAAAUUCACGUUCCAACAUGAAUAUGAUGCAAGAAUCGAGCACAUUCUAUGGCACCAAAACAUACUAGUGGCAGGUAAAAUUCAUAGAAGCACACUUCAAGCAAGAGAAUGACACCGAACAGGACAAUCUAGGUGAAGAAACCAACUCUUGAGCCAAACGUUGCGGUGGUGGCCGUUUGAAUCAAAACAUUGUAAAGGAAGCUUUUAGUGCGUAGUUUCGGAGGCACACAUCGUUGCAGGAGCGGCAACAGCUACGCCGGGAGCAUGCAAUGCAAUGAAAUCUGAACUUUGGCAGCUGCCUGUCUCCUUUGACCUUCAGCUUGUCUUUCAGCUGCUUUGUGAUCGAGAGAGACGAUGAUCUCUCCGCUAUUCCCAUUGAACCCUAAACCCUGGCCGCUCUUGUGGCCAUCCACUGAAGAUUAUUUCAGAUGUGUACAUUGUUUGUGAUAUUCCACUAAAACUUAAGAGCAUUCGUUUGAAGUGCGCCAUAAGUGAAUUGUGCAUCUAGUGUAACAGUUUCUUUGUUGUGUACUUCUGGUGUACCUUUUUGCUUUUUUCCUUUUUCAUUGCUGAAAUUACUGUAGGGUGAGGCAGGAUUUAGUAACUAAAAGCAUAUCUUUAAAUAUAUCAUGUUUGUUCAUUUUUAUUUUUUUUGAAGAAUGUUGUAUGUUUAAUUAUUGUUAGUAGUGUAAAAAAGAAAAUUAGUGUGGAAUUAUGUGCUUUUAUGAUUGAAAUUGUAGGAUGUUAAUUUCUACACAAUGAUUUUGCUUAGAUAAGUGUGUGUAAUUGUCAUUGGCAUCUUGUGAAUAUUAUGCUUGCCUAAAGAUAAAUAACAAAUACAACUUAGAAGUACAUGUAAUGUAUUUUUUAAAUAUUAUAAUUUUUUAUUAUUUUUUUGAAGAAAUAUAAAAUUGUUAAGAAUGUAUAUCUUCUUAGAGAUUAUUUUGUUGGAUGUCACUUUCAUUAUGAUUGUCUUAUUUUGAAUGUGAUUUUUUUUAGUUCUUGUAUUAGUUUAGAUGAUAAAGAAUAGUAAUUAGGUGUCUAUUACCUAUGAUUGCAACUUUUGUUUUGUAUUUAUCAUUAUUUUUAUUUAUUCAUUCUUAUAAUAAUAUAAAAUAAUGGUCUAUUAUUAAAACAAUAUCUCAUUUUUUUUCAUGUCUUUUAAUAUAAAUUUUAAUAUAAUAAUUUUUAAAAAAUAAGAUAUAUAUUAGUUAAUUUUUUCUAUGAAAUUUUUUGAAGAUUUUAUUACUUAACUCUUGGUAUAAAAAUUGAUUUUUGUCUUUUGAUGAUGUUUCUAGUAGUUGUAAAUUAUGUAGUUUUUAUUAAGUUUAAAUAAAGUGGAAGUACUAUUGUUGUAUUUUAUCAUUUUUAAAGUUGUGGCUUAGUGUCACAAACAUAUAUAUAUAUAUAUUUAUCUAAAUUAAAAGAAUUAAAUAUGAGUAAGUAGAAGUAAAUAAUUUGAUAAUAUCUUGUAGAAAAGCUUGUUAGAAGUUUCAUAGAUGCGGAUUUGACUUUAUAUGUAUUUGUAGAUGGUUGGUAAGUUGAAAACUUAGUCAAUAAGUUGACUAUGUGUCACACAUAUUAGUGACUUGUGAUACAAGUUGGUCAUUUAGCACAUAUGUAAAAAACUUGUCUUAGAAGUUAGGUAUGUAUUGGAAGUCCUAUAAAACGUUGCCAUGUAGCUCCUAGUUUAAUAGUAUAUAUAGAAGCAAGAGUGAGUCAUUCCUAACUCUAGUCAAUAUCUUUCUUGUUUUUAAUCUUGUUUUAAGAAUCUCUAAUCUUCUUGUUUUUGGCAAUAGUCAUUCUAGUAUUAAUAUCAUGCUAUUUUAAGUGAUUAUCUACUCUUUUUUAAUGCCAUAAGAGUGUAUUAAUUUUUUAAUUGCUUUUAAUUCAUGUCCUUGACAAUUUGAUAAGAGUGCUAAUUUACUAUUCUUGUUUUGUUUUAGAAGUGAGUGGAUUAUACUACUUUUUUUUGUUGUGAUUUAAAGGUUGUCAAUUCCUAUGUUUAAACUGAUGUUUUUUUCUUCUUACAUUGAUUCUUUCCUCAAAAAAAAUAAACUAUCUUUCUUUGUAAAAAAAUUGAGUUCAUAUAAGAGGUUGCCAAUUACCUUUCUCUAAUUUGAAUAGUAGAUUUGUUAAAGUCAUCUAUUAAAGAGAUAGAAGAAAAAAUUAUAGAUGCUAUACUUAAUAGAAGUAAGAAUAGAUUUGUAACUAUUGCAUAUCUUCACAAGUUUAGCAACAUUCUUAAGAUAGAAAUUUUAUGUAAAAUCAAUAUCAACCAUCAAGAUACUAUUCCUACACCUAUAAAAGAAGAUAGCAAUGAGAUUGAAUAUUUGCACCAAGAAGUUGUACAAUUGAGAGAAGCAAGUUAAUCAAUCUCACAAUUAAAUCCGAGAAGUCUUACAACUACAAGUAUUAAGGAAACAAGGAUUAGUAUGCAAGAGAAGUUUAACAGAAUAAGAUCAAAAUUUCAAGGAUUUUUAUAAUAAGUCAAGUUUUAUUUAAGAUUAUAUUUUUUUAAUAUUUUAAUAAAAUAUUCAAGUUGGAUUCAUAUGUGUAUUAUUAUUUAGAAGUAAUUCCUUUUUAUUUGUAAUUAUGAAUGAAUUUUUUUUGUAGAUUUUAUUUUAUUUAAAUUUAUUCUUAAAAAUAUUUAUGGCUGCAUUUGGAAAAAAACAAUCAAGAAAAUAUAGUAGAAAUAACCUCCUAUUUUUAUGACAAGAUUACAAUCAACUAUUACAUAUUGUCGAAUUCCAAAACAUUGUUUGUAAUGUACAUUGAAAUGAUAAAACUCUUAUUAAUCAAUUUUAAUAUAAAUUAAAAGAUAAUACCAAAGAUUUAUUAUUGACAAUGCCAAAAGCAAAUUGAUUAGAAGAAUUUAUUACUUAAGUCAUUGCAUGCAACAAUCACCUUUUUAAAAGAUGUCAAAAACAAAGAUUUGGUUAGAGAAGAACAAGAUAAGUCAUGACAAUAAUUCUUAAGUCUAUAAUAGAUGUUUGUUUUAAUUCCUAAGUUAUAAUAGAUGUUUGUUUUAAUUCCUAAGUCUAUAAUAGAUGUAUUUUUAAGAUAAAAAAAUUACGAAGUCUUUAUCUAUAUAAAGAAUUUAAUAUAUAAUAGUGUGAUAUCUUUUGAGAUUAUUUUAUUAUCAAUUCUUAUUGCAAGAGGUUAUAUGCAAAGUAUACAAUUGAAUACAUUGACAUUCACACCUUUAAACUCAUAGGUUAUUCCUUCUAUAUUUUCACAUAUGAGCUAUUGAUGUAUUUAUAUCAAAUUUUUAUAAAUAUUAUUCAUUGUCUUCCAAAAGUUGUAGCUUGAAUGUAUGUUUCUUUGGAAUUAAAGUCAACAUUGAAGUUGAGGCCCAUCAUUUAGCUAUUAAAUUCUAUAUAUAUCUUAAUCAUCUUUGUUCUUCAAUUUCUUAUUUAUGUUCCUUCACAUCUUUGUCAAAGUUGAUGAUAUUUACUUUGAAGUAGAACAUAGCUUUCCUCGAUGAACCUUGCCUUAUCACCAUUGGUCUUGUCUCUUAAGCUUUUUUUUUUUUUCUUAUGUUAAAAAUUCCAAAGGUCUUUGUGAAUUCUUCCUUGCAAUUCUCAUGACUUUUCAAUAUAUCAAAAAGAUGUAUUGAAAUGAUAUAAUAAAAUGUCAAUGAUAAAUCCUUUAUUAUAUAUCUUUAUUAUAAUUAUAAUAUAAAUUUAUGGCUAUCUAUAAUUAUUUUAAUAGAAUUUUAUAAUUUAAAUAAUUUUAUAAAAAAUAUAAAAAAUAAAUUUGAAUAAUUUGAAUAGUAGGUUUUAUUUGAAUAGUAAUAUUUGAAUUUAGUAAAAUCACUUUUUUCUAACCACCUUCUCUACCUAAGGUGGUUUUCAUCACCUUGUUGUUUCAUACUAACUUUUCUUUUUCAAGUCCUAUUUACAUUAUCUUUCCUUUAAAUUCUUUCCAUACUACUUUUCUCUUCUCAUUUUGACUUAUUUUUAAAUCAAGGUUUUUUUUUUAAAAUAUAUAUAUAUAUAUAUAUAUAUAUAUAUAUAUAUUCAAAUUAUUUUUAUGUCAAUUUUUUUUUUUUUUUUUUACAAAAUUAUUUCUAAAUUAUUCCUCAUAAAGGAUGUAAAAUUUAUUAUUUUAUCUUUUAUAUUAGUUUAAAUGGUUUAAAAUUUUAGAGUAUUUUUAAUAAUAAUUAUAGAUUUAAUAACAACACAGAAGCAUAUAAUUUUAUUUGUAUAACUAUCAAGGAUAUAAAGUAUAAAAAAAAAUUUAAAAAUAUAUAUAUAUUCUUGUAUUAAAAAAAAAAAAGUACAUAAAUCAAAGUAGAUUUAAGAUAGAAACUAAAAUGGCUAUUGCCAAAUGCAAACAAAGUAGAGAUUCUUAAGCAAAGACAAGAACACAAAAAAGGUGUUGUUAAGAAUGAAGAAGGAUUCAUUUUUGCUUCCAUGUAUAAUAUAUAACUAAAAAAUUAUGCAACAACAUAUUAUAAAUUAUCCAACAUGUAUCCAAUUUGCAAAACAUGUGUCUAACUUGCAAGGCAAGUUUCUCAUAUGCUACAUGGCCAACUUGUACCACAAGUGGUCAACAUAUGCAACAUCUAGUUCACUUGUAAAAAUAAGUAGUCAACAUGUACAAUAUGAAGCCAACUUAUUAGCCUAAUUUUUAACCUAUCAAUCACCUACAAACAAGUAUAAAAUCAAAUUUGCAUUCUUAAAGCUUCUAAAAAGCUUUUCCACAAGAUAUUAUCAAAUUUAUUUAUUUUUACUUCUAUCUAAUUCACAUUAUCAUCACGAUUACUUAAUCCAAUGUUGAUUUCCAUGACAAUAAUAUUAUAUAUUAUUUUUGAUUUAAAUUUAUUAACUCGAUUCUAUUUCACUCAAUUAUGAUUUGCAUGUGUGAUAAUUUAUUUCUUCAAAUUUAAGAGUAAAUUUAUGUUUUUUUAUUAUUAUAAAAUAUUAUAAUAAUUUAAAUUUUAGAAAUUUUAGAGAUUUUAAGAUGCUAUUAAAUCCAAAUAAUAUUUAAAUUAUUAUUUGAUAUAACUUUAGUACAAAAAGAUUUAAUUUAUAAAAAUAGAAUAAAAUAGAAGAAAUAAAAUAAAAAAAAAUAAGUUUUUAAAAUAUAGUUUUAAAACAUUUAUGAUAUAUUUAAGAUUAGGAUUUUAUGAUGCUAAUAUUUUAUAAAAUAUUUUUGAUACUAUUUUUAUAUAUGAAUUUAUUGUGUAUAUGAUUUGAUAUUAAUUUUUUAUACAAAUUUUAUUAUUUCUAUCAAUUAUCUUAUUAUAUGAAAAGUGUACAAUGAUCAAUUAUUUUUCUUUUUUAACAAUAAUUUGGUACAAUAAUAUGGCAUUGUUUAAAUUUUGUUGUUUGUAAUGAUUUUCUAUAUUUAGAAAAUAUAGAGGAUUUUUUUAUCUUAUGGAUGUAAUAUGCUUGAUUUUUUUAUUUUAAAUUCAUUUGUCAAAGAAAUAGUUAUUUGAUGGACUAAAUAAAGUAAAAAUAAAUUAUUAAAUGUGAUAAUUUAUAAUAAAUUUGAACUUAAAGAUCAUCUGAAUUUUUUUUAUUAACUAAUCAAUCAAGAUGCAAAGAAAUUUCUAUUUUCUUUUCUCUUUUUUCUUUUUGUUUAAGGAUUUUUUUAUAAUUGUAAUACUUGCAAAUAGAAUUUUUAUUUCUCUAAAAGACUCUUGUUUACAAUCACUACAAUUCUUCUCUCAAUGUCUUUAAUGUAGUCACAGAUCAAAAUUAAGGUUUUUAAAAUUUAGCAUACUUAUAAUGCUUUUGUAGGAUAUAAUAAAUUAGUUUUGAAUUCUUUUGAUUAUAAAUAGUCUUUGUAGUAAGACUCAUUUAGAUAUAUAUAUAUAUAUAUAUAUAUAUAUAUGAAGCAUUAAUUUUUUAAAAUUUUAAUUUUGUUUUACUUAGAAGUAAAAGAAAAAAAAUUAUGAUACUAUUCAAGUUUCUUAUUUUUUUAUUUUUUUAUAUAAGUAAAUUUAUAUUAAGAAUGGUAAUUACUUGUAGAUUUAUAACAUCACAUGUGAAACAUGCUCAAUUACCUUUUUAGGUCAUUAUAAUAAUUAUAUUUUCAAUUACCUUUACAUUUUAGGUCUUAUAGAAAAAGAACCAGAGAACAAAUUUUUGCCCCACCUUAAAAGAAGUCUCUAAUAUUUUUUUUUUUCUUUUAAAUAUGUAGAGCUUUGCAUAAGAGAUAGUAAGCCUUUUAUUAUAAGAUAGUUUAAUGGAUAAAUAAAGUUGUAGCUAAUAAAAGGAUAAAAGGUACUUUAUGUAUCUACAAAAGUAUCUUAGGAUUUUGUAAGAUACUUAGUUAUUAAGUUAUUUAAGUUUAGAAAUUAUAUUAGAAUCUUAAAUAUUAAAUAUUUAAUAUUUAAUAUAUAAUAUCAUAUUUCUAAUUAAUAAUAUUAAUAUUUAAUAGCUUUAUAAAAUUGUGUAUAAAAUCUAUAAAUAAUUAUUAACCCUUAUAUAAUAUUUAUAGUACUUAUAAUACAUAAUUUAUGUUUUUAUAAUAAAAUAAAAAAUAAAGUAAUUGUUAUUAGCCAUAUUUAAUACAUUUUAUACUACUAUCUAAUUAUAAUUUUUUAAUAUAAAUAAGAAUAACUUAGAAUAUAUAUAUUACAUUAUAUUAUAAUCGUAAAUAAAAACAACUAAAAAAAGAAAUUAUAAAUUAUAAUAGAAAUAAUUUACCUUAAUAAAGUGCAUCAAUUAUCUAAAUUAGUAUAGAAGAGUUGUAAAAAUGUAGUAACUACAUGUAUAUAUAUAUAUAUAUAUAUAUAUAUAUAUAUAUAUAUAUAUAUUUGAAGCUUGUCUAAAAUCUAAUUGUAGAUGUAAAACCAACUUAAAUAAAUAACAUUGAGUAAUAGUUGAAAAAAUCCAAAGUAAUUGAAUCUUAUCAAACAAUCAUAUAAUUUUACUUAUUUUUUAUAUGAUAUUAUAUUUGAAUAGUAUAUAUUGGAUUUAAUAAGAAGUAAAAUAGAUGAUUUUUAAAUUUCAUGAAUUUAAAUUAAAAUAUCAAUAAUUAUUAAAUAAUACUAAACUAAUAUAUAUAUAUAUAUAUAUAUAUAUAUACACACAUCUUACAUGCUAUUUCAAUAAUAGAUAUAUUUAUUUUUAUAUUAAGUUUAUAAAACUAUUUAUCAACCAUUUUUAUAAUAAAUUACUUUAAUUUUUUUUAAAUAUUAUUGUAUACAUUUUUGAAAUAGGCACAAUUGAUUGUAGUACCAAAACAACAAUCAUUGAAAUGAUUAAUGUGCAAAAUGUAGUUUGCAAUUAGUUGUUCUAAAAACUAGUGCAAGUUAAAGAAUAAAUAAAUAAAAAAUAAAAAACAUAUAUUUUUUGAUAGCAUGCAAAUUCAUACUUGAUAUUUAUAUAUAUUUAUAUAAAUACAUAUACUUAUUUAUAUAAAUAUAUAUACUUAUUUAUAUAAAUAUAUAUAUAUAUAUAUAUAUAUAUAACUAUAAAAUAAUUAUAAUUAUAAAUUUUUAAAAAAUCACAAAUAGAUCCUUCUUUUUUUUGAAAACAAUAUAUCAUCAAUACAUUAGUUGACUAUAGAGGUCAUUUGAAAUAAAGAAUAAGUUUUCUUAAUAUUUUUUUUUAAUUAAAUUUCAUAAAUAUGAUUGAAUCAAUUUUAAAAUUUUAAAAAUAUUCAAUAAAUUUCUCAUAUAUUAUUUUAUUUCAGAAUAUUGAAGAUUGUUUUUUAAAACACCAUUUCAGUUCUUAACGUUUUAAAACAUUUAAAACACUCUUUAUUUUAAAAAUGAAAUCUCAAGCCAGAUACAUUAAUUUUUAUUUUAGUAACAUAAAUAAAAUUCUUGCUUCAAUAUAUAAUAUAAAAAUCAACUGAUAUCAUUAAAUUUGAAUAUUUAAUAAAAUAAUAAAAGGUUUAAAAAUAAUUAAACUAUUAAAACGUUUAAUAUGAUUCAAGCUAUAUUCAUUAAUUAUUACUUAAUUAAACUUAUUAAUUCUGUAAAUUAUUUUAAAAAAAUAUUUUAUUUUUUAUAUGUAACAUAACACAUUAAGUAUAGUAAUGUGCAAUAAUGUACGCUUCUAUGAAGCGGGGUGGGGUGAAAUCUCACUCUCGAGAGAGGGCCCCAGCCCUCGAAUCCCAGGUGUCACCCGGGUGAGAUGAAAUCUCGAGAAAGAGAAAGUGGUCCUGAACCCUUGAAUACCGGGUAUCAAGCGGGGAACCCCUAUCGCUGUGGCCAUCAUCUGGAGAUGGUGCAUCACAGACAGACAAGGAGGCCAUGCAUGGGGCGGGUGGAAGCCUUGGCCAGGCUCCUAGACCCCGUCCCUAUUUUCGUUCGGAGACGAACGAAGACCGUCGAGAGGGACGACGGAAACCGCGGCGGAGACGAAGAACAGGAAUCGCGGUGACUGCCGCGUGACUUGGUUCUGCCAGCGUGCUCCCCAAUUGCUCCAUCUCGGCGGUUCAACAUUGUUGAAGCGGAAUCACGAGCUUGGAUAUGAUGGCGAUUGGCUGAUUCUGGCGUAGAAGGGCGCGGGGAGGGCGGAGUCGUCUCCAAUCAUUAGCUGGGACGGAACUUCUGCCCGCAUUCUUUACGUCCGGCUAUGGCGAUGUGCCACUUCCAUUUUUGGAUUCGGGAUCAUCAUCAUCGUCAUCAGCAUCAUCAUCGACAGCACCAGCACCAGCACCAGCAUCGGAGCAGCAAACUCUUGGUCGCGAUUGCGUAAGUGACUUUCUGUGCAGGUGCUGUGGAUUUGGACAUACAGUAGUGUGGUAGUGAUGGGAUCGAAACGGAGUUGGGACAGGGACAGGGCCUGUAGGUUAGGGGAACGCUGUACCGCGAGAUGACGACUAGUUUGGAGUGCUAGUUUAAGGGAUAAGUUUAGUAUCUAGGUUUGGGAGGGAGACUAGGCUGGUGCGCUUGGAGGAUGGACCGCGGAGAGCUCAGUAGAGGGUAGCGCUUGAGCACAGUAGGGCGUCGGAUGGUGGCAGCAUGUUGAAGAUUCGAGGUGCGUGCGUGAUGUGGCGGUGUUUUCUUUUCCCUUUUCUUUUCUUUUCUUUUUUGCUCAAGGGGGCACAGCAUGUUAGGGUGAUGAUGAAGAUGACGAACACGAUGAUGUUGAUGUUUCCCUUUCGAGAGUCCUAGUGAGAAGGAAAGGGAUCGUUUGGGUGUGAGUAUGUGAGCAUGGCAGUUGUACGGUGCGAGAGAGUGGGAAUGUUCGUGUCGGCAGAUUUGGGAGUGUUUGGAGACGUCCAAUAGAUAGACAGUUGUGUGAGAAGGUAGAUGCGAGGGCAGAGGUGUCAGAAGGUUCAUCUGGUGUUUCUUUUUGUCUCUGUGGUCUGAAUUUUGUGCAGUGUCGAUUGAGAUAGCGUAGUAGGGCAUGGAAAGCACAUGAUGCAAUUUCUGAAACCCUAAUUAAUGGCAUCUUAUGUAGGUCAGAAGUUUUGGACGAGGGUAAUAGUAAGUGUCUUACGCGGUAGAGUUGCAGGCAUAUGGAAAUGUGGAAGAUGGCAGAGAAUUUUAAAUGCAAUGUAAGCUCUUGCGUGAAUGUCUCGUAUCCCCUGACAAUUGGCUUUUAGGUUAACGCUUGUUUGUAACCUUCUGUUACAGAAGAAAGUAUUCGAGUCAGAUUAGAAAGAAUGAGGUGCUGGAUUAGAGCUAUCGGAUUUUGUAGGAAGAAAGUAGUUGAGCCCUCCUGUGAUCAAUCGAUUUACAGCUCUAGGUUGUGCAAUGCAGGUGUUCACUAUUGUUGUGAAGGUUGCUAUCAUUAUGGUGAAUUGACCGUUGGCUCUGAAUUGUUAUUAAACAUGGACCACCUCUGGUUUUAUCCUUGAGGGUUGAUGGAGAACUCACUUUCCACUCUCAGUUUGGGGAUUAGAACGCAGAGGUUGAGUGGAAGACAUCAUACAGUAAGGGGUCGGUCCACAAUCUCGUUGACAGAUUUGUCAGACAGAUAUGGCUCCUACUGUAAAUUAUUCUGAUUCUGAUAGGAGGGGAGCUCUGGAGGGGAAUCAUGUGACAGGCUUUCCAAAUGAACGAGAAGGUACUGUGUCGUCCACCGUCGAGACAGGCGAAAUGCAGCAACCUGGAUCGAAGUUAAGCAGUGAAAUUUCUGAACAAGGAAUGACAUCAGAGAUCCCUGCCUUGGACGACGGGAGGCGACGGAGCUCUCGUCUCAAAGGCAAGGCUUCUUCAAUACAUGCGGGUACUGAUGGUGGAAGUCCCCCUGUUAUUAAACAGCCAUCAGGUAGUGGAAGAAAAGGUAGGCGGAAGAAAGCUCCUACAGCAGAGAGUGUGCAAUGCAUUGGGGAUUCGGUUGAGGAAUCGAAGAACGAUGUUAAAGUCGGAGCUUUCCAUCAGGAUUCGACCAUGAAACCUGAGAACGCAGGUGCUAGUCCAGUGGAAGUUAGAACCCCAGUAGGUUACGCUUCGAUUUGUGGGGAACCGACAUUGCCACAUGAGACUGGUGAAGCGAAAACGGCAAGAGUCAAGAAAUCAGAGGACCUUGGUAUCCUCGAUGAUCCCCUUUGUGUGGUUAAAGAGAGUGCUGGAACCACUGGACCCGCCACACAUACAAGAGGGGAUUUUUGUGACAGUAAUAUAUUUGAAAAUCUUCAAAGUAUUGUGAUAUUACAUCCAGAAGAGAAUGCAAUCCACAACGAGGUUCCCAGUACAUCCAGAAGUGAGGCCCGAGAAAUGAUUGAAAUACGAGUUGCAGAUUUGCCGGAGGCGAACCUAAAGGAUGAAAAAUGUAGGCAAGGAUGCACUGGACUUAUCAAUGCUAAUUCUGAAGGUACAAGUCCUGUGAUAUCCGAUCAUAAGGAUGUCACAGCCAGAGUAGACGUUCAAUCACGUUGUGAAACCAUUUUUCAACUCCCCAAGGAUCUGACAGAAAUUGAGGCACAGCCUCAAGUGUCGGAUUCUAAAGAGGAGGAUGCGUCGAGAGAGAGUAAUAGCGCCUCAAAAGCAGGCGAAGACGCAUUCAAACUAAACGGGAAUGACGGAGAGGAUUCGAGUUCUGUGACCUCUCGGGAUGACGUCGCACAUACCACAGCUGCAAGCGUAGAUAAAGACAGUAAGGUCACAUGUGGUGAUAACGCAAGAGGUGGUAAGCGCCCUAACGGGCUUUCUCUUUCCUUUGUCGUCUUUUCUAGUGCUCGAUCUGCUAUUCCCGUCUUUUUAUUUGUGCGACAUCAAAUGAUAAGAAAGUAAACCUACAGAUACUGCUACUGGUCCUUCGCAAACUGCUCCAAAUGUUCAAUGGGAUGUGUAGACAAUUGGGUGUUUUGAAUCGUUUGCAGGUGCUACAAAACUUGCAUCUAAGGCCUCAUCAAGCGAUGUACACAUGGCCAGGAGUUCUGAAUUGCUAGCUGAAAAGACCAAACACUUACAAUCUGGGAAAGAGAUUUCUAUUUAUUUUGAGAAGAUCCAUGAUUAUGAUGACCAUGUGGGAAGUAGGAGCAGUUCAGAGGCUAAAAUCUCAAGGGUAUGUCCUUCCAAAAGCAGAACAUUAACUCUCGGUUCUCAGGCCUUAGAAAAUGGGAAUGAUGGUAAUCAAAAGACAUCCUCAAGUCCUUUGGAAGAGAGACCGACGUUGCAGACAGCUUUAGAAGCUGCCUGCCCUCAAUCAGGUAACAUAUUUUACAACUAAGUCACAUGUGCUAAAAACUAUAGAACUAAACUGGAAAAUUUGACUGACCUUCAAUAUAGUUUGGGUUAGCACUGUCAUUCACACCGUGUAGUCCUUCGAAUUGUAUGUGUCUCUUUUGGUUUGUUUUUCAAAAAAUAUACAAGUUCAAUUUUUGAAAUCUAUUGUCAGUUUGUUGUAGUGAGGAUGAUUGACGUAGAGAAAAAAGUUGGGAAGUGACAUGAAUCAGAACUUUUUCUGUCCUAGGUGUAAGUGAAUUCUUCUGGCAUGAGGUACUGUGUGGUGUCCUAGGUGUAAAUUAUUGCUGUCUCUUCUUCUUUUCAUCAGGUGGAGUAGAAGGUGCUUUGCUGCUUGACAAAAAGUCCGACUCACUCAAAUCAGUCAAUCAAGAGAUAGACGUAUCCACUGGUGAUGUUCCGGGUGCCGUGAAGGCUGACAGCAGUGUUGGUGAGUUGCUUCAUACUCUUUGACCAGUUUGAAUCUUCAGGGUGAAGCCUGCUUCUUUUUUCUUUUUCUUUUUUGAGAUUUUUUUCUCCUUUCCGUUGUCUAUUUUUUAGAGGUCCUUUACUAAUGCCUUAAUUGUGUUCUGUCAGUGGUUACAGAAAGUCUCUCAAGGCAGACUAAAAAUACUGCUGUUGGAGAAGACGAUUCGAGUGGUGUAACUGAGGGUGAUGAAAACACUACUAGUGAGAAGGUGGAUGAGAGCAUUAGCAUCGACUCUAAAGCUGGAUGGGUUAAGUGUGACGAUUGUAAGAAGUGGCGUAGCAUUCCAGUGGAGCUUGCUGAGAAGAUAGGGGACACAAAUGUCUAUUGGUAAAUUUUCUAUUUUUGACCUUUGGGUUGACACGCAAGUAUCUUCGAUAGAUUUAUCUGAUUUGUUUUGGCUGAUGAUUGUUUCAUUAAUUUACUGUAACUAUUUGAUAAUUUUGUUGAGAUUGUUACCUUCCAGAAUACUUUCAAAUAGGUUUGAUAACCCAUAGGGAUUAUCUUAAAGGCAAAAUUUUAAUAGCGAUCAUCUACGAAAUAGGCUGGAUGCCCACUAUUGGAUCUGAUUUAGUUUUAGUGCAAGGAAUCAUUUUAUGUUAUUCUGACUUAUUAGUUUUCCACUUGCAAGGAUGACAUCAUGAAGUAGAUGUAGGAUGCUAUUUGAACUUUUCAGUCGCCAGAAUAGAAGUUCAAUGUCUAGUAUCUAAUGUGUGGCAACUGUCGCUUUAUUAGAUAUUAAUACUGGAAAGAUAUUGACUGUUGAUUACUCUGGACUUGAGAGCAACUAUGCUGGACACUGCCAGCUGAAGAACCCUUGUUGAGCAUAGGGUUACUAAUAUUGGAUAGGGACAAGUUUUUUUGUAGUUUUUAUCGAAGACUAAGCGAAACUUCUUUCUGCAGGUCAUGUAAGGAGAAUCCGAAUAAGCAGUUCGCAGAUUGCUCUAUCCCUCAAGUGAAAAGCAACGAAGAAAUAAAUAGAGAUCUAGGAAUUUCUGAAAGCUCCUUUUGUGAUGAAGAUGAAGAUGGAAAAGAAGAUGAAACCUGUGAUUCUAGGCCCAUGUAUAACGGUAUACAAGGUGCGGGAGUGAUUAAUGUUCUAUUGCCAUUUUUUCUAUUUGUACAGGAUUUCAUUUAAUAUCGUGCAAUUCAUAUCCUUAGUUUUGACAUGACAUUGUAUGGGUUUUUAUUUGGGAUUUUUGAGAUGGAGUUUUAAGCUGUGGCAGAGAAUGGACAAGCUGUGUGGACGCUUAUAAAGCGAAAUAUUUUCAAACACCGCAACCAAAAACACCAAGAUGCUGAUGAGGUAGUUUUGAAUGAGUUCGCAUACUUGAAACCUGUUUGGAUGUGAAUAAAGCGAGUGCAAUUAACAGUGUAUGUUUUUUGGUGUUUAAAGUUUUCUUUUGUAUUUUUCCCUCAGGCAAUGGUAUGUCAGUGUGCGCCUCCUAAACCGGGGGAAGUUGGCUGCGGCGAGGACUGCUUAAAUCGAAUACUCAAUGUCGAGUGCUUGCCGCAACAAUGUCCAUGUGGACCAUUGUGCACAAAUCAGCAGGUGUGUUUAGAAUGUUGGCUUUCCUGUAGUUUAGCGCUUGAUGGUUCCUACAUUCCAGUAUUUUCUUUUCGUCUUAUGGAUAAGAAUUUGUAUCGGGUUUCUUUUGUUUGAUUUUUUUCCUUUUGCGUGAAAACAAAGUUUGUUUGCUUUGAGGUCUCAUGAUGUCUUAUAUUGCAGUUCCAAAAGCGGACUUACGCAAAUGUGGAACUAUUUCGAUGCGGGAAAAAAGGCCAUGGACUUCGAGCCCUGGAGAACAUACCAAGGGGCACAUUUAUCAUAGAGUAUGUUGGGGAGGUACGUCAUUUUUUCCCUCGAGCAAGCUUGGUUUCUUUAUUUUCUCUGUGUUAGGUCAUGCAUGAUGCUUGUUGGAGUGAUGUCAAGGUUCCUGGUAGUAGAAGUGUUAUAUAAUGUGUAAGCUAAUCUUUAUGCAGAUGAGUUGUGUUUUGUUCAAGAUUUGUUUUCUUCUCAUCUGUGCCUUUGCAUUCUUUUUCUGUCUUAUCAUGUGGCUUACCUUUCUUUCGUUGUCCGCUUCAGUUAGAUCGUCUUUGAUUUGUGCAAUGACAUUUGCUGAUUUGCUGCUUCUUUUUCCAGGUGUUGGACAUGCCAUCUUUUGAAGCGCGUCAAAAGGAAUAUUCGAUGAAUUCUCAAAAGCAUUUCUAUUUUAUGACAUUGAGUGCCAAUGAGGUAAUCUCUUGCUUUGACAUUGUGAUCACUUUGUAGAAAGAUGAACUUGAGGUUUAGCAGUACAACUGUGGACCUUUCGAAGCAAGUCUAUGUCGUCCUCGCCACUUUUCAAAUAAUUAUUGUUAUCCUCUGAGAUGUCUAGUUCUUUUGAAUUGCCUCGACGUACAAUUCUUAGUUAAAGUUCAGUCCUAAAAUUUGUGCUUUCUAUCAUACAUGAGAGUUUUGAAGACUAGCGAUGUGGAUGAACGCAUCAGAUUUUGAAAUGAGAUUCAUCAGCUAUAAAAGGGGCUCCGGUUUUGCAGAUUAUUGAUGCUUGCAAUAAAGGCAACUUGGGGCGUUUUAUUAAUCAUAGUUGUGAGCCCAACUGUCAAACGGAGAAGGUACUCGAGUUGAAAUUCUGCCACUCGGAGGAUGUCAUCUUGUUUCUGUGCUCUCCCUUGUUUUAAAGACAUUUGAAUUGUUAAAUCCUGGAAAUAUUAUAAUAUUUUCUUAGUGUGAUUUUUAGACUUGAUUAUCGUAUAUUUUUUUGGUAUACUCGCUUUUUCUACUCGAGCUGGAACUGGAAGCUUCACUUAGUUUUUUGUCAAUUGAACUAAUUAUAUUUCACGAUUAUGGAUCAAAUAGUCGCAGAGUGACAGAGGUUUGCAGCAAGUAGGUGCAGGUGAAUUAUCGGAAGGAGUUUUUAUAAUGAUCUGUCUUUUUCUCACUUGGGGUGCGUUUGGUUGUAGUGGAUGGUGGACGGUGAAGUCUGUAUUGGGCUUUUCGCUAUCCGUGAUAUAAAAGAGGUACCUCUUUUAGUGUCCCUUGUGGAAAUCUUUUUAAUUUUUAGGUUGAUAAUGAUGAAGUAAGACGUCGUUUUGAACAUCGCUUGUUUUUGUUGAAGCUCUAAAUUACUUGAAGUAUGAGGUAUCGAAGGCAACACUUUGUUUUAACAACAUUGAUUAAUCUUUGUACAAGUAGCAAGUAGCUAAACAUUGUCGUAUCGCUGUCGCCAGAGAGAAGAGGUCACCUUUGAUUACAACUUUGUACGUGUUGGUGGCGCUGAUGCCAAGAAGUGUGAGUGUGGUGCAAGUAAAUGUCGAGGUUUCAUUGGGGUUGACCCAGACACUCCACAGAACGUUGUGGAUGUUGAUAGUGAUGAUGGAGAGGAUCCAGAACCUAUCAUGUUAUACGCAGAAAGCGACGAGGAACGUGAUAUUGCAGCCGGGAAAUCAAAAGAAGGGGCGGCAAAGAAAGCAAGAAUAACAGCAGGCAGUGAGAGCAUGUACGAUAACAAUUGGAAAUUUGGAGGAGUGAAACGUAAGUUUUACUCAGGAAGAGCGAAAGACCUGGUAAGCCCGAAGAGAUCAAGACGAGUAAAGACAGCAGCAGUUUCUAAAGUAGGAAGCCACAGAUCAGCACCAUCAAGACUUUUUGCUGCCUCUCGCUUUGGCACUCGCAAUACUUACCACAGUGAUGGUAUGAGACUGACCACUUCACACAUUUCUCAUUAUUUGCUUUGUUUUAUCACGUCUUACCUUUUUCUUGGUUCAAUUUGUGCAUACUAGGGCGAAGUUUUGUAGUUUUUAAAUCUCUGGGAAUACUUGUUACUACCUGUUGUGUAGCAUAACACUUAGUAACCUUCUCACACUUUGAAUGGUUGUAAAAAUCUGAGUUCCUUGUGUACAAGCAUGGCAACACAUGUUGUCUGUGUAAUUCUUCAGCAUAUGGAAUAAGUAACUUCACACUCGUGCAAACCUCGUGCUUAGAAAUGAUUGGUUGUUAUCCAAUGGUGUAGCAAUUCUGUUAGUUAUGCUCUGCUCUUGUUUUUGCAGUUGAAGAGAAAUUGGGAGAAUUGACGAAUGAGUUUGGAGGGCUUCGAAAACAAAAGGUUAGUCAUUGAUGCCCCUACAUUAAUUCUUGAUGCUUACGUUAGUGGUCCAGAUCUUUGAAGCGCUCGAGAUAUUAUGCCUGUUCUGUUCUGUUCUGUUCAUUCCGAAAUAUAUAGAGACCCCUGAUAUGAUGAUCACUUGUGAUCGCAGGACGCUGCAAAACAGUAUCUAAAGCUGUUGGUGCUUACAGCAGCUUCUGGUGGCAAUGUGAACGGGGCUGCUGCCUGCAGGUUUGUGAUUCAUUUAUUAUAUUUUUUAGCUCUCUUUUUAGUUGUUGUGUAGUAAUAAUCUAGUUUGUCGAUGCUUCAAUUUGAAUUUUAUAACAAAAUUUGAAUGGGAAAAAUCCUCAAUAGUUUCUUCAUGGCAGCAGUGCUCGUGACCUAUCGAUGCUUUUGGAGGCACUUCUCAAGACUCAAAAGUCGAGUUUGCUGAAGGACAUCAUGGACAAGAAUGGUAUGGAUUUAGAUUGCUGUUUUAUUAGUUCUUGCAGUCUUAUUUUAUGACGCAACGUUAAUAGAUACAUACACAAGUUACGUUUGUAAUUUCAUACACUUCAUAGAAGUCGUUAUGAUCUUAGUGCCGUACCAUAGCUAUGAAUUGAAGCACGAUGAACGACUUUAGAUCAAACAUUGUGAAUGUCUCAAUUUCUGUCUAUAUUGUGGCGUGGAGUGCAGGUUUACAGAUGUUUCACAACUUGCUUAAGCAGUUUCGGAAGUCCUUCGAGAAGAGACCAAUCCUUCGGAAGCUGCUUAAGGUUCUAAGUUUCACUCCGAACUUCCUCUCAUGAUCUGGCUUACUAUAAAUGCUUCUUCAUGAGCGUGUACCGGCAGUCACGUCAAGUUGCUAUAAUGAUCAGUGCUUGAAUGUCUAACGCUGAUAGUUCGCAUUUUCCUUGCAAUUCAUGAAGGAUAAGUUGAUGGUAGUGCAGAUUUGAUUGCAACCCUUUUACUCUCAUUGCUAAGAUGAACAAUGUGCAGAGAACAUGUAAUUUCUUUAUGUUCACUAUGAGAUGUUUUUAUUACUAAUGUAUUAUAGUUUCUAUGUUUAAGGUUUUGGAUCAUUUAGCAAAAAGGAGGGUUUUAACAGUCGAGCACAUUUUUAGCCCUCCGCGAUCAGGCAAUGAAUGGUAAUCCUGUUAACACUUGUUGGUGGUGUUAAUUGUAUUAUACCUAUCUUUUAUUUUUUUUUUACUAUCACUGACUUUUCUCGCCAUCGCGCAAUCAUCUAAGUGACUAGCAAUAAUAUGUUCACCGCCUGCUGACCAUGGUUCUGACCGUAACCAUGUGUGUAUGUACAGCUUUUCCGACACACUCUUUGACCUUUCUAGGCAUGAUGAUAUGGAGGUAUUUUUCAGCCUGAUUUUAUUCUUUUCUUCGGCAUGAAUGUUGUGAUGGUAGUGGAGCUUGUCAGGUCAUGUGUGCGUCAGAAAAUUUCUUUGUCUGUGAAGAUGCUCAUAUGUUGACCCUCGAAUUAAUGAUGCAGGUUCAGAAUAUGGCUCGUAAUUUUCGGAAACUAUAUGUUCCACCGCGGCCUCAUAAGCCUGUCGUAAAUACUGAACGGCCCCUAGUUAAACCACAUUUGCCACAAACGACUGUUACCCUCCCCUCACCCUUAGUGAUGGAGUCUCCUCAAGUAGGCUCAUCGGCUAAUAAUUCAGUGGAACAGCCAGUAGAAGGUAACUCAGCAAACCCUCCUACAGGUAGUGGGCGGAAAAGGCCAAGUAGGUGGGACACUGUUACAGAUUCUGAUGCACCCUAUGAAGCAAGCGCGCCAUUAGGGACGCCAAACCCAGCGCUGUAUGGCGCUGUCCAUCAUCAGCAAGUCGGUUCAUCAGAGCAGGGUGCUUCCGGCUUCACACCCAGAAGUCAUCUUUCAGCAGCUUCAGGUUCGCAACAAACAUCUACGACUAUUUCCUCAGAUCACUCACAAAAGCCUUCAGUAUCUUCAACGCCAGCAGGAAUACCAGGACGAGCUUCAGGACCCCCUCCACCUGCUCAACAUCAUGCUGGUCAUCAUGUAGUUCAGGCUGGGGGAUUGCAACAUCAAGGUUUUCCACCUGGUCAUAUUCCCGUUCCGAUGCCUGGUCAAAGACCAGCCAUUUCUCCUGGGCCCGUACACUUGGGCAUGCCUAGGAAUCCCAUGGGUAAUGAUACGCCUCCAAUGUCACAAAGACCAUGUAUUGGAGGGAAGCUGCUGAGACCAGAUAUGGUAUCUGGACCACACCCCAUGCAAGGCGGCCCCUUGCAAAUACCAGCAGUCGGUAUGCAUCCUUUACCUUAUGCAUACCAUCGAGGUCACCCUAACCAGGCUGUUCCACUCGUGCCCGCUAUGCCCUCCGUGCAAUGGCCGAUGAUGUACCCUGUGUUUGGCGGGGCUUCCUUUCCACCGCCACCUCAACCUCAACCUUGGCGACAUAGUGGCCCGAGGCCGAUGGAUGGUUUUGCUGGCCAUGCUUUUGGGUUAGGCAGAGAAGGUUCUGAAGACAGUAGAGGUCAAGCGAAGCAUAGCUAUCCCGUCUCACAAAGCUCGAGUAUGAAAAGUACGAGUAAUGAGCCGAGAGAACCAGAGACGGCAGGAGAACCUCCCAUACCAGGAAUGUCCCCUACAAGCCUCCGAGGCAAUCGUACGUUAGAAAGAACCAUUGCCGGGUUACCUGAGCCAGCACAACGUUCUGCUAGGUCUUACAACGAAAGUAGAGUUACAAGGUUAGAAGCUCCUCCACAUACUCAAAGAGAACACGAGGCAAAGACAAGGGGUUAUGAUUCAAAUACGAUGAGUCGUUCUCGUAGCAUACCAAGCGAUGUAGUGUCUAUACAACAGGUCUACACUCACCCAGAAUAUAGGGAAGGUGUGCAAGACAAAGGCCAAAGAGAGAUGAGUUGGGAUACCCCUGAAUGUUCAAGCUUCCACCACCAUGUAAGCUCUUGCAUUUUGCAGCACCUUUUCCAACUUGGAUGUGUGAAGUUAAUUGAUUAUUCAUCGAAGUCGUGUGAGUUCAUCUCUGAUUUCCUAUGAGUUAUGCAGGUGUCAGGUAUGGUACGUGCCCGAGUUGAGAUGAAACAAUUGGUAAGUGAAGGCUUUUCAAAUUUUAACAACUUGUUAAUGAUUAAAUCGUUUUAUGGCACAGUAAUCUGAUUGCUUUUCAUCCUGUCCGUGUUCAAAGUUAUCUCACUAAUGGAUACUGUUCUGAUUCUUAAGGUACAUUAUAAGGACUUGGAGAAGUUUUGCAGCAAGCUAACUGAAGUCGUCACUCGUAAGGAGAUCAAAAAGCAUAGAGAAAACAAAACACAGGUGAAGAUAUGCUCUGCAGUAAUGGUUAGCAUGACGUUCAUAUUCCAUUGUUGCGGAAAAUAAAUUUGGUAGUUAAUAUAAAAAGUAUGUCUGGUUGUAUGCAGGGAAUGACGAAAGUAAUCCUCAGAAGCAAACUACUGGAGAAGGUGGAUGCUUACGUAGACUUGCAAAUUGGGCUUUAUAGUAAAUCGAGCAAAUUGAAGAGUGGCGAAGGGCAGUCCUGAAGGAAGCCACCAGCAUCUGGUCCAGUUCAGCGGCUUUUGUACAGUAGUCCCAAAGAAGCCCCACCCAACUUUUGCGUUCUAGUGUAGACUUAUUCUUCGAAAUAAUGGCAACAAACACGGGGCACCGCUUGAUGCUUGUGUCCCAUCUUACAAAAAUUUACAAUGUUGUGGCAACCAUUUACCCCAGGUUAAUGAAACAAUUUUCUUUUCUUCCAGUCCCUAGAAAUUAUAUGGAUGAUAGGAGGUUGUUUCUGGGGUGGAGCUGCUUGAAUUGUUAUUUUUCCCUUAAUCGUCGACACGAUUAGGUCGCAGGUGUUAUAAUGUAUAUCACCGUGUUUUCUGUGCGGUUAUUCACACUGCUCCUGAUGUUCCUGACCUAUGCAGGACCAGUCAAAAAUUCUUUUGAUGUCUACUGCACACUUUUUUAUUCUAAUCUGUGAGUUACAUGCUUCUCGUCGUGAUUAAAAAAGAACUAGUUGUCUAGGUAACGCCAAGGUUAACAAGACAAUCACAUUCAGGGGGAACUUUGUAAUUCAGCAUAGAUACUGGCAUGUGUCCGCCAUGCAACUGUCUUUUCAAGCAGCUAAAAGUAAUCCAUUGUAUUGUGAACUGGUACCAGGUCACCACACUAAUUUCAAAGGCAUCACCCUAUCAGCUUGCCAGUUGCAUCCAUCAACUCGAGAAACGGGAGUAAGAGGUGCGAAAUCUUGUGAACCAGAUAAAAAGAUUUCCUCAAGUUUGCUGUUUUUGAUUAUCUUGGUUGAAGUGUUCAGUGUCUACAGUAUACUUCUAAUGUUCUCUAUCACAAGCAGUAUGGUUUUGCCUUCGUCGACGUCGAGAGAUUCCCAUUUUGAUAUAGUCUUGCUGCACACCUGGCUUUCAGGAUUUAGGCUUUUUAUCCUGGGAUGUUUUGUUCUGACGUUUCUAACCUACAACAGAUAUUUCCACAGGCAGAAAUUCAGACCCUAGAGUUUGUGAGCUUCUGUUGUUUGUACACUAGGUUCAACUUUUGAAUAAUAAUGAUACUGAUAUGUUCAGUAGCUAAUCAUAUUGGUUUAACGACGGAGGAGGUGCAAUAUCCUUUUCCAAUUCAACUUGUUCCCUUGUAAGCAGCUGAGUAGAUUCAGACUUGGGCUUUUAUUGUCCGAGUUCAUCUUCAUCCAAGAGAAAUUCCUUCGCAAGUCGGGCUAGUGAAGAACGUUGAUUCAUAUUUGCCUAGGCUGUAGAAUAAGAAAUAAUUUUUUUUUUACGGCUAAAAUCUUUCAAUCCAUGUUAUAUGACAACUCCAGUGUAGUCUUGUGUUACUUCUAUAACCAAGCAGAUUGUAAAUUAUCCCACCAGUGAAUGAUAUUAUACAGUACACUGCAAAAACUCAAUAAUCAAAGAAUUAAAGUGUUGACUGUUUAUUGGCGGCUCUUUGGUGUUGCUAUGCUCUUUUGCAUCUCUCUAUCAGAUUUUAAGCAAAUAUGGCCUUUUCAAAUCUGAUCUAUUUUUUAUUGUGAAGUAUAGACUCUUCGCACAGUCGGAGUGGUUGCCAUGGGUGGUAUUGAGAGGAAAAGUGUUCUAUUUUAUGAUAUGCAGAAUAUUGGCGCCACAAUGCUACUUCAUCUUGCAAUUUGCACGUUUGGGGGACUAUACCUCAAUUGUAUAUUUGGAAGCAUGCGUUUCAUGAAUUCGAUGUAGAAGAUUAUAUUGUUUGGAGUUUGUUCAUUCCAUUCAUCAAAAAAGACUAACAAUAUUUGUCAUGGUCAUUGGCUUAAACUGAAAUGACGAGAAAAAAUUUGAAGUUACAAAAGUAUAAAUACGGAUGUAAAUGAAAUGUAAAAGAAUGAGAUAUGAACCAGCCCAGCUUUGAUAGAGCUUGUGUUACUUCACAAAGCGUGGUUUCAAAGAGCAUAGUUUUAUCUACAAGCAACGACGACUACAUGCUCGAGCCAAAUCACACGUUACCAACGUCAGGACCCUGGCGAGCAGACAGAUUAGUCGACGCAAAAUUGCAUAUGGAAAAGAUUCUUGAAUUUCCAGAAUCGACCCUCUCCAAAUGUCAACUACAGGACUCCAUGAAUAUUAAGCAUUUACACUAUUUUAAUAAACUGUCGAAGAUGACCUGAAACGCCAGGUAGUAGAGAAUGAAAGAAAUAUGAAGGUCAACUAAUUCGUAUUGAAAAGUUACAAAAAUGAGCCUUACUAAGGACUCUUUAAAAUGGUCUCUGCAGAAUGCAUACCUUAUGAAGUGGGAAUGCUGACCCAACUGAGUAGAAAGGGUGCCCGUCGGUCACAUCCUCCAGAAAACUACUAUGUCAUGAAUGAAAUACCAGGAGAAUCGACAGCCUCCACAUUUCCGCGGCGUGGCUGUGCAAUAUUGCAACCCACUUGGAACGUGUCCAGAAACCAACUCACGCACAUGUACAAAAAAUAGCAUGUACUGCAGGUUUCUCUAUCCAAAAAAUCUCAAAUAAAAAUCAUGCUUCCACGAUCUUAAUCUAAUUCCAACAUUCGCCGCAGCUAAGCCAUUUUGUGGCAAUCAAGGAGCACCACAGCGUUUGUAGGAGCUCAUUUCAGAAGCUGACGCUUGGAACGUUUCACGGAGGAAAAAUGUUGCUGGUAUCUAGGGUGAGACGAGUUCAAACUUCAAAUAUUACAUCCACCCCCAACAUUUGCGUCAUUAUCUCUAAAAGUCUUCUUCGGUAGCAGCGCGAGCUCUCUGAACUUGCAAGCAAGGUAGCCACCGGCACAAAACUCACCAUCUAUAACCUACAGUCCCGCAGAUCUCUUGAGAUGUCUCUUGAAAUCCAUAAUAUCACCAUUCCACCUAGUGAUCGUCUUUUUCUCGCACACCCAGAUCUCUUUGGCAACCUGAUUGAUGAGCCUGAAGUCGUGACUGACAAGAACAAGACCUCCGUCCCACUCGUUAAGAGCCUCAGCAAGAGAAUCAAUAGUUUCAAUAUCCAAAUGAUUAGUUGGCUCAUCCAGAAGGAGCAGAUGGGGUAGUCUCCACGCCAACCACGCAAAAAUAACACGACUUUUCUGCCCAUCAGAGAGAUUGCCCAUAGGCAUAACUUGAGCUUUACCAGUGAGUCCAAAGCGCCCAAUGGCAGACCGCAUCUUCUCUUCCUCGAGGCCAGGGUACUCCGACAUCAUAUACUGAAGUGCUGACAUUUCAAGGGAUAAGGUCUCUGCAAGGUGCUGAUGAUAUUGAGCAAUUCGAAGAUGAUUGUGCCGACGGACCAUACCAUCCAAUGGCUCCAACUCACCAGUCAUGAGUUUUAAGAGAGUACUCUUUCCAGCUCCAUUGGGUCCCACGAGGGCUAUGCGAGAGUCAAGAUCAACGCCAAAGUCAACCUUCUCAUAUAUAAGCUGAUCGGGUGUGUAGCCAAACUUCAGAUCAACAAACUGAAGAACGGGUGGUGGCAGUUUUCCAACAUCCGUAAACCUGAAAGUCAAAACCUUAUCCCUAACAACCUUUUCUGCGAGUCCACCUCUUUCCAUCUUGGCUAGCGUUUUCUCUUUACUUUGAGCUUGACGAGCGAGCUUUGCAGAACCGUGCCCAAAUCGAGCGAUAUAUUCCUUCAUAGCUGAUAUCUGCUCUUGCUCCCAACGAUACUGCUUCAUCUGAUUCUCUUCCAAUUCAGCCCUUGUUUGACAGUACUGAUCAUAAUUUCCUGUGUAAAACUUGAGCUGUUUGUUUUGCAUGUGAAUGAUGUUUGUGCACACACCAUUCAAAAAAUCUUGGGAGUGAGAGACAACAACCAGGAUCCGCUCAAAUUUCUUCAGGGUCUCCUCCAACCACACACAAGCCUCCAAAUCUGGACAAGAGAUCAAUAAUUGGAAAUUAGCGCAAAUUCCAGAAACACAACUCGCAGUCUCCGGAAAGCUGUACGUGCAGAUAACCUGAAAAUGGAGAUCAAAUAAGAGGUGGUAAACGCACCUAAGUGAUUGGUGGGUUCAUCCAGUAGGAGGAUUGUUGGGUUCAUGAACAAAGCACGAGCCAAAGCAAUCCUCAUUCUCCACCCUCCCGAAAAGUCUCGCGUCUUUUUGUUUUGCAUUUUCUUAGUGAAUCCAAGACCAUGCAAGAUCUGGGCUGCCCGCAUUUCUGCUGUGGCAGAGUCCAUGGCCUCCAACCUCUCAUAAAUACGCUCCAAGGGCUCGCCUCCACCGUCAUCCUAUUUACAUUAGACACUGUAAUGUCAAAGACCAAUCGUAACAACAAUUUGUACACAUGUAGAAUGCUGAUCAUGAAUGAUGAAAUUACACCUUAUUGGAUGCCCAAUUUAAAAAAAUGAAGCUGAUACUCACUUGUUGGGAGAGCUUCUCAGCCUCUUUCUCCAGGAGAAGCCUCUCUGAAUCCACAUUCAUGACAGCCUGAAGCGCCGUCAUGUCUGUAGCGUCGAUCUCUCUGGUCAAAUGGUAUAUAUCCAUAUGCUCCGGGAUUGGGACUUCUCGAAGACCGAUAGCGGUCAAAAGCGUAGAUUUUCCACAACCGUUCAGUCCAAGCAAACCGUAUCGUCUGAAAGCGAUGAGAGGAAUGUCAGCUACUGCUUACACUAGGUGAUUCUGGAACUAGUAUCAGCUUUGAUACUAAUCUAACACUCACUUCUUCCAUUCUGUGAUUGCGUUUCCAAGAGGACGAGUAAAUGAGAGAAGUCUCUAACCUUCCGUAAUUCAGUUCCAAAGUUGAGUCUGCCACCAGCUCGUGACCAUGGAAUGUUACAGAUAAGGACUCGAUCUGCGAAAAAACGGAAAAACCAAUGAAUCUUGUGGGGAACCCUCAACAGUAAAAACCAAUCGUCAUCUGAUAUCGCAACAUGACAAAAGAUAGUGAAAGACAUCUCCCUGUCACAAAAAUCGAAUAAUGACACUUCUGCCACUGUUAUGGGUUGACGUACACCUGCAAGAAUAAAUAGGUAACAAAACAACAAACUACGUUCGAACUGAAUAAAUAGUAUUAAAUGGCACAUUUUCAACAUCCAUAAUGUGUCACAACCCCUAAGAAGGCCCUACGCCGUGGAAUCAAAGAAUUCCCUUGACCUGGAGUUUGUAGAAACUUACGUGGAUAUCUCUUGACUGGGCAUGAGAUGCUAGAACACCCGUACAAGUCCGGUCAGUUAUGUUAGCAGCAGCCAACUCUUCCGCCAGGGUGUCCGCAGAGGUACCGUUAGUGACAUCUUUCAGCUUCGUCUGUGCAACAACGGCCGCUGAUUUGGAUCCACGCUUCUCGGCAGCAGCGAGCUUUUUGGCCGCGGCCUUCUUCUUGCUGGCGUCUGACACCAUUGUCUCGUGUGCUAGAAUUCAAACGAGCACAAACUAUGUUCUCCUCACUCCAAAGAUGGAUCUGCGAUUGAGAAGUAAUUCAUCAACCGAUCAAUACACAGGGCACCACCUCCAGUGUAAAACAGAAAAAUGAUAACAAGCAAAUCAGAGCGGGAGUUUAGAGAUGGUUAGAUCUGGUAGAUAAGAUAAAAACAAAAAAAACUAAAACUAAAACUAACAAAACAAAACAAAAAUACAACACAGCUAUACAAGUACAAAAAAGCAGCCACGACCUCGUACCACUACCUUAACCACAUAUGCGUAUACUAUAUAUCAAGGACGAAGAACUGCCCAGUCCAAUGCGAAAUCGGAGAACCGCACGAAAAGACAGGUCUAUUUCGUAAUUCACACAAAACACAUAUCUUAAAAGCAAAUUCCCAAGUGAUAGACUAAACAUCGAUUACCGCCUUCACUUAGAAACUCACAUCAUGUGAUUGAAGUUCACCGACCCAACAAUUCACGCUACGUAUCCGGAAACUCCAACCGGAAAUGCACUGCAGCACCUUACCCUAAACAGCCCCGCAACCACAAACCCCGCCUCGAAAAAAACCUACC
rnacentral:lncRNA from 1 species